GACGAACGCUGGCGGCGUGCUUAACACAUGCAAGUCGAACGGAAAGGCCCUGCUUUUGUGGGGUGCUCGAGUGGCGAACGGGUGAGUAACACGUGAGUAACCUGCCCUUGACUUUGGGAUAACUUCAGGAAACUGGGGCUAAUACCGGAUAGGAGCUCCUGCUGCAUGGUGGGGGUUGGAAAGUUUCGGCGGUUGGGGAUGGACUCGCGGCUUAUCAGCUUGUUGGUGGGGUAGUGGCUUACCAAGGCUUUGACGGGUAGCCGGCCUGAGAGGGUGACCGGCCACAUUGGGACUGAGAGACGGCCCAGACGACUACGGGAGGCAGAAGUGGGGAAGAUUGCACAAGGGGCGGAAGACGGAUGCAGGAACGCCGCGUGCGGGAUGACGGCCUUCGGGUUGCAAAAAGCUUUCGCCUGUGACGAAGCGUGAGUGACGGAAAUGGGUAAAGAAGCACCGGCUAACUACGU
rnacentral:rRNA from 1 species